AAUAUAAAUUAAUUUUACAUUUAUAUUCCCCAAAAAUCCAAAAUUGUAGGUAGACAAUUGUAAAGAUUUCGAACAGACUAAGAGCACUUUUAGCAUUAAUGCAAAAACCUCAGCAAAUCCAAUAAACACUGCCAAGCCCCACCAUCCCGAAGCGAAGCAAAACAGGACGAAACCAGAGCAAGGCCCCGACCGCAGUCAGAGAGAGAGAGAGAGAGAUCUGAUGGCUGCCAGCCGAGUGGACAGCCCAUCAAUAUUACAUCACAACAUGGUCAUGGCAUGGCAUUGCAUAAUACGCACAUACCGACCAAAAUCGCGGCCCAGGACAUGCCUCAAUGAUAUCAUUGUGGGAGGAUGAGCGGGGAAUCAGGAUGGGCGAUGGGCGAUGGGGAUGAUGUUACGGCGGCUGAUAAUUCGGUAGCAAA